rnacentral:rRNA from 1 species
AUACGGAGGGUGCGAGCGUUAAUCGGAAUUACUGGGCGUAAAGCGUACGUAGGCGGUUGGUUAAGUUAGAUGUGAAAGCCCCGGGCUUAACCUGGGAACUGCAUUUAAAACUGGCGAACUAGAGUUGAGUAGAGGGGAGUGGAAUUUCAGGUGUAGCGGUGAAAUGCGUAGAGAUCUGAGGGAACACCAGUGGCGAAGGCGACUCCCUGGACUCGAACUGACGCUGAGGUACGAAAGCGUGGGUAGCAAACGGGAUUAGAAACCCUAGUAGUCC